UACGGAGGGUGCAAGCGUUAAUCGGAAUUACUGGGCGUAAAGCGUGCGCAGGCGGUUUGUUAAGUCUGCUGUGAAAUCCCCGAGCUCAACUUGGGAAUUGCAGUGGAUACUGGCAGGCUGGAGUAUGGUAGAGGAAGGUGGAAUUCCCGGUGUAGCAGUGAAAUGCGUAGAGAUCGGGAGGAGCACCAGUGGCGAAGGCGGCCUUCUGGACCAAUACUGACGCUCAUGCACGAAAGCGUGGGGAGCAAACAGG
rnacentral:rRNA from 1 species